CUGCUGGAUAGGCUACACCUCAUUAGCAUAUAAUUGUGCCGGAAGAAGUGGUAUAUCGAGGGAGGACGUUAAACACUGCCCCUUUCUCGAGGGCGCUACAGAUGGAUACCCUACCUCUGCCUGUGGUGUUGGAAGAGGCUGCAUUGGGAAGAGGAUGCAUCAACACCCUGGAAAGAUGUUUGUGGUGCACUCACUCAUAACACUUUUUUGAGUGAUAAAUGAAUGUAUUGUCUUCAAGCUUGAUAGGAAGCAAUCAGUUACAAGGCAUAAAGACAGAUUGAGGCCUUCAAUCAAACUGAGGACAGAGAAAUGUGCACCAGGUCAAGGCUUCAUGCAUGAAUGGCUUUGAGAUUGUGUGCAUUUAAGAAGCUUUGGAUGAAGGACUUCCACACGGCUGCCAUCUCCAAAGUUCACUCAAAAAGGCAAUAGUUCUGAACUGGGUUUGUUUUUGCUUUUGUCAUUUUAAUGAUUUCAAUUUAGUUAAUUCUCUUUUAAACAUCCAUUGCUUCAAAGCUCAUUGACCAGUUAUCACUUGGCUCUAAAUUCUGUAGUUGUAGUUAAACAUAAGGUAAACAUCCCCAUAGCGUUCACAUUUAUCUCUUGUAAAUGUUGAAUCUACAAUAGAUAUUAAAUAAACAAUUUAUUUGGGAAA